UCUUUGAUUCCGUCAUUGGGGCGGGAUCAGGACGGUUUGGCCCACACCGCUCUCCGUAGAUCUGGGCCUGGGCGUCGUUCGUAUCUUCUGCUCCUGCUGCGUAGGAGUCAAACCCUCACAACACUUCAGCAGCACGACUUGUAGGCGUUUAGUUAUAUAACUAGAACCUAAUAUAAAACCAAAAUCAUGUGUUCUGUUACGUUAGAAAACAAUGGUUCUCCGAAGAAACGGAUGCUGUCCCGGGGAAUGAGUGAAGAUGAGUCACUCCGAAGCAUUAUAAAAGAGAGCGAGACUCCAACCAGGCGGCUGACUCGAAGCGACAGCCGGGGAGGCACCCUGAGGAGGAGGACCGACGUCCAGCAGUUGGACCAGGAUCUCCUUAUGGGACUGCCUGAAAUGGUAACU